rnacentral:rRNA from 1 species
GGCACGGUGCGCUCGGCCCGCCCCUUUAUGGUGAGUGAGUGCUGAUGUGCGCCUGCCAUCCUUCUGGGGAGGACGUCUACCCUUCACUGGGCCGGGCGUUCGACCUAGAUCGUUUACUUUGAAAAAAUUAGAGUGUUUAAAGCAGGCAGAUUGCUCUGAAUACAUUAGCAUGGAAUAAUAAGAUAGGACUUUGGUUCUAUUUUGUUGGUUUCUAGGACUGAAGUA